GGAAGUUUGGGUGAGUGGCUGAAACCACCAGUUUGCUAAACUGACGUACUCGCAAGGGUACCGGGGGUUCGAAUCCCCCAGCUUCCGC
rnacentral:tRNA from 1 species